GUUGCCAUAGUAGCAAGGUUGUAAAGUUACAACCUCCUGAGGUGAUGUAGGUUAACUCCACCUCGCCUGAAAACUCUUAUAUAAAUAUUUAUGUGCACAAAAUAACCUUUUUUUAAUUGUUUACAAGCUUUACCAGCAAGGAAGCAUGGUUUUGUGAUGCAUAAAGUGAAAUCUUGCAUGGAACACUGAAAACAAAUGAAGAGGCUGAUUUGUCCCACACGUGCGCACUCCCCAUUCCCCCACCCACUAACAAGUGUGUACUGUGAUUACGUAUUGUUUUCGUCGUUUCUUGUGCAUAUAUUGGAUAUUUUCUUAACAUACUACCACGUUCGUGCCUUGAGGCAAGAAAGGCGCUUUCAGGAUCGCCACGACCCCUUGGCAUUGAGUGAUAAUGAGCUCAUGAUCAAAUAUCGCUUCCCGCGGCAGACCUACUAAACCUCUUGUUUGAGGAGAUGCAGCCUCAGCUGGAGAGAAGGACAAGGCAUAGCCAGGCAUUACCAACUCACACCCAGGUUCUGCUGGCCCAGAGACUGUUUGCCAGUGGGCCCUUCCAAAACGUCAUUGGAGACACUGCUGGACCUAUGCAAGCAAGUGUCAGCAGGGUCUUCAAGUGUGUGUGUGCACCGUGUUGAGUGAUAAGUCAGUGCAGGAAAUCAAGAUGCCUCCAACACACCUUGAUCAAAGGAGAACUGCACACCAGUUCUUCAGGAUUAAAAAUUUCCUAACGGUUAUUGGGGCCAUUGAUGGCAGCCACAUUACCAUGAAGGAGCAAAGUGUGGAUGAGGCCCUCUACUUGAACUGGAAAAGGUAUCACUCCCUCUGAACAUCCAACUUGUUUGUGAUGCAAGUGAAGUGAUCCUCAGCUACUCCUCCAGAUUGCCAGGUGCCUGCACUCUUGUGGAGGUGGCUUGCAGUACAGACCCAUCAAGUGUGUCAAAAUAAUUAAUACUUGCCUGCUCCUACACAACUGCUGCAUCAAGUUCCUGAUGACAUAUGUACUUGUCACUAUUUUUCUGGUAGUUGACAGGAUAUAUCUGUAUCAUGGACAUUAGAUUUAACCGAGUACAGUCAUGAAUGUUCUUACACUUGUUGUUGGGGUAAUGAAAUUUGUCAGAAGUGUACCAUCAUUUAACAAAAAUAAACAUUCUUUUUUUUUUUUUUUCCUACAAAGAUGUCUGAAAGUCAUUAUGGUUUGGGCUAGUUUUAGAUCAUCAGAAUGCUAAAUGUCAAACUACAUGACUGUUCCUCUACAAUAUAACUUUAAACAAAUGGAACAGUUAGGUUCCAGUCCCUAGACCUCUCAGACCCUCACAAAAGUCUGCUUACAGCUACCACCUCUUGAGGAUGAAACAGUGCCCCAUGCUGAUACCAACCCUGCUGUGCUGUCGAGGGAUCAGUGUGCUUCAGGCAGAAUUGUGUAGCAAGAAAUCAUACAAAACUUCUUCCAGCACUGAAAUUGUCAAAGUGCCUGGGACAUGUUUUGUACAGCCAGCUGCACCAUCACCAGCUCGUCCAUACUCCGACUAAUCUGCUGUUGGGUUUCCUGUGCUUGAGAGAGAACUUCCAAGUCAGAGUGGCCAUCUGAAAUACAGUUUAGAAGCAAACAUGACUACACCUCAAGUUACAAAUGCAGAUGAUACACCAUUGUCAAAUCCAGAGGCCCCUGUGGACCCAGCGACACCAGCAGAAGAGGGUUGGAUGGCUCCAACACCACUGCUGGUGGAAGGCUGUGGUCCUAGAGGCCCUGACACUUCUGGAGAAAAAAAAAAAAAAAAAAAGCUGUCAUUACUGCAGGGUAUGGCAGUCCUGCAAAUGUUGUGUGAGACAACAUCCACAGCAUGACCAACUCCACAGCAGUGUGUGUUGUCUCAUCUGGAGGCCCCCACCUGCAUGGAUAUGAAUGUUGCAAUUAUCACCCACUUAGAAGUUCACAUGUAAAGCCAAAUCAACUUGGUGUAAAUCAUGAAUGCAUUAGAGCACAAUAAUGUUAUCUAGCACUGCAGUGGUCAUUGUCUCAGACCUGACUGCCAGAGGUACUGUACAUACUCCUAUUUAUAAUCCAUUGCUUAGUUGGUUCUUGGUUAUGUUUAUUGACUAUAUGGGUAAAUUUUGUAACAGCACCAAUAAUUAAAUACAUGUACACAAGAGCAAA